CCCCAUUAUGUUCGAAGGGGUGUUCCUGUCAGGGUUAAUGCUUAGGAGGGAUGGGUUUGGGAACACCUGGGCCUUGCUGGGGGAGAGGUGGCUGGGAGGCAGGAGGUUGGUUCCAAUUGUUGUUUUCUCCAUACCUAAGUGGCAUAUUAAAACUAAAAUCAACAUUAAAAAAUAAAAAAUACAACUAAGGUGUAUGUAAUAUGGACACUCUUCCCCCCCAAUUUGCUACGAUAAAGCAUUAAUACCUGGGUCCUGAUGUAGAGGAUGGUGGAUAUGUAGGCAUUGGCUGGAAACAGAUGAAGAGAGCAGAAUUACUACCACACGUAAACUGGUUAAUUAGUCAUGUACUGGAAAAGGUCCUAGGUCUGUUUGUGUUGUAUAGCCCACUCCCAUGACCAGGCUAGAUCUGUUUGUGUUGUAUAGCCCACUCCCAUGACCAGGCUAGAUCUGUUUGUGUUGUAUAGCCCACUCCCAUGACCAGGCUAGAUCUGUUUGUGUUGUAUAGCCCCCUCCCAUGACCAGGCUAGAUCUGUUUGUGUUGUAUAGCCCACUCCCAUGACCAGGCUAGAUCUGUUUGUGUUGUAUAGCCCACUCCCAUGACCAGGCUAGAUCUGUUUGUGUUGUAUAGACCACUCCCAUGACCAGGCUAGAUCUGUUUGUGUUGUAUAGCCCACUCCCAUGACCAGGCUAGAUCUGUUUGUGUUGUACAGCCCACUCCCAUGACCAGGCUAGAUCUGUUUGUGUUGUAUAGCCCACUCCCAUGACCAGGCUAGAUCUGUUUGUGUUGUAUAGACCACUCCCAUGACCAGGCUAGAUCUGUUUGUGUUGUAUAGACCACUCCCAUGACCAGGCUAGAUCUGUUUGUGUUGUAUAGCCCACUCCCAUGACCAGGCUAGAUCUGUUUGUGUUGUAUAGCCCACUCCCAUGACCAGGCUAGAUCUGUUUGUGUUGUAUAGACCACUCCCAUGACCAGGCUAGAUCUGUUUGUGUUGUAUAGCCCACUCCCAUGACCAGGC
ensembl:lncRNA